rnacentral:rRNA from 1 species
GAUGAACGCUGGCGGCGUGCCUAAUACAUGCAAGUCGAGCGAACGGACGAGAAGCUUGCUUCUCUGAUGUUAGCGGCGGACGGGUGAGUAACACGUGGAUAACCUACCUAUAAGACUGGGAUAACUUCGGGAAACCGGAGCUAAUACCGGAUAAUAUUUUGAACCGCAUGGUUCAAAAGUGAAAGACGGUCUUGCUGUCACUUAUAGAUGGAUCCGCGCUGCAUUAGCUAGUUGGUAAGGUAACGGCUUACCAAGGCAACGAUGCAUAGCCGACCUGAGAGGGUGAUCGGCCACACUGGAACUGAGACACGGUCCAGACUCCUACGGGAGGCAGCAGUAGGGAAUCUUCCGCAAUGGGCGAAAGCCUGACGGAGCAACGCCGCGUGAGUGAUGAAGGUCUUCGGAUCGUAAAACUCUAUUAUUAGGGAAGAACAUAUGUGUAAGUAACUGUGCACAUCUUGACGGUACCUAAUCAGAAAGCCACGGCUAACUACGU